rnacentral:rRNA from 1 species
UACGGAGGGUGCGAGCGUUGUCCGGAAUCACUGGGCGUAAAGGGCUCGUAGGCGGCCAACUAAGUCCGACGUGAAAUCCCAAGGCUUAACCUUGGAACUGCGUCGGAUACUGGAUGGCUUGAAUUCGGGAGAGGGAUGCAGAAUUCCAGGUGUAGCGGUGAAAUGCGCAGAUAUCAGGAGGAACACCAAUUGCGAAGGCAGCUCGCUGGAACGUAACUGACGCUGAGACGCGAAAGCGUGGGGAGCAAACAGG